UACGUAGGGCGCAAGCGUUGUCCGGAAUUAUUGGGCGUAAAGAGCUCGUAGGCGGUCUGUCGCGUCUGUUGUGAAAACUCGAGGCUCAACCUCGGGCUUGCAGUGGAUACGGGCAGACUAGAGUGCGGUAGGGGAGACUGGAAUUCCUGGUGUAGCGGUGGAAUGCGCAGAUAUCAGGAGGAACACCGAUGGCGAAGGCAGGUCUCUGGGCCGCAACUGACGCUGGAGGAGCGAAAGCUGGGGAGCGAACAGG
rnacentral:rRNA from 1 species